GACGAACGCUGGCGGCGUGCUUAAUACAUGCAAGUCGAGCGAACAGACGAGGCGCUUGCUCCUCUGACGUUAGCGGCGGACGGGUGAGUAACACGUGGAUCACCUACCUAUAUGACUGGGAUCACUUCGGGAAACCGGAGCUAAUCCCGGAUAAUAUAUUGAUCCGCAUGGUUCAUUAGUGAAAGACGGUUUUGCUGUCUCUUCUAGCUGGUUCCGCGCCGCAUUAGCUAGUUGGUAAGGUCACGGCUUACCAGGGCGACGAGGCGUAGCCGACCUGAGAGGGUGAUCGGCCACACUGGAGGUGAGACGCGGACCAUGCGCCUACGGGAGGGAGCAGUAGGGUAUCGUCCGCAGUGGGCGAAAGCCUGACGGAGCAACGCCGCGUGAGUGGUAGAGGUGUUCGGAUCGGAAUACUCUGUUAUUGGGGAAGAACAAAUGUGUAAGGAACUGUGCACGUCUUGACGGUACCUGAUCAGAAAGCCACGGCUAACUACGUG
rnacentral:rRNA from 1 species